rnacentral:rRNA from 1 species
GAUGAACGCUAGCGGCAGGCCUAAUACAUGCAAGUCGAACGGGAUCCAGAUCAAAGCUUGCUUUGGUUUGGUGAGAGUGGCGUACGGGUGCGUAACGCGUGAGCAACCUACCCUUGUCAGGGGGAUAGCCCGGCGAAAGUCGGAUUAAUACCGCAUGACAUCAUUGGGAGGCAUCUUUCGAUGAUCAAAGAUUUAUCGGACAAGGAUGGGCUCGCGUGACAUUAGCUAGUUGGUAAGGUAACGGCUUACCAAGGCUACGAUGUCUAGGGGCUCUGAGAGGAGAAUCCCCCACACUGGUACUGAGACACGGACCAGACUCCUACGGGAGGCAGCAGUAAGGAAUAUUGGGCAAUGGACGGAAGUCUGAACCAGCCAUGCCGCGUGCAGGAAGACGGCCCUAUGGGUUGUAAACUGCUUUUAUACGGGAACAAACGUCGGUACGGGUACCGGUCUGAGUGUACCGUAAGAAUAAGGAUCGGCUAACUCCGUG